rnacentral:rRNA from 1 species
CAGAUGUGUAGGGUGCUGCAUGGUUGUCGUCAGCUCGUGCCGUGAGGUGUCGGCUUAAGUGCCAUAACGAGCGCAACCCUUACCGUUAGUUGCCAUCAGGUAAAGCUGGGAACUCUAGCGGGACUGCCAUCGUAAGAUGCGAGGAAGGUGGGGAUGACGUCAAAUCAGCACGGCCCUUACGUCCGGGGCGACACACGUGUUACAAUGGGUGGUACAAAGGGCAGCUACACAGCGAUGUGAUGCUAAUCUCCAAAACCACUCUCAGUUCGGAUCGGAGUCUGCAACUCGACUCCGUGAAGCUGGAUUCGCUAGUAAUCGCGCAUCAGCCACGGCGCGGUGAAUACGUUCCCGGGCCUUGUACACACCGCCCGUCAAGCCAUGGAAGCCGGGGGUACCUGAAGUUCGUAACCGAUAAGGAGCGGCCUAGGGUAAAACUGGUAACUGGGACU